rnacentral:tRNA from 1 species
GGCAGGAUGAUGAUAGGUUAAGCACGCUGACUUAAAAUCAGGCUGCUUGAGUUCAAAUCCCAUCUCUGCCA